AUUUUUUUUUUACUGCAACUGAAUUCUAUUUAUACUUGUAAAUCUUUACAAAGCAAAGUUGUAAGCCUUUGUUGCUGGUUUCCUGUAUCAGCUUGAAACAAAGAGUCCGUAAAUUCUAAGAAGCAAGAUAAAUUAAUUAAUAUUAAUUUAUAGAAUAUUUACGUAAAACACAAUACUAAAUUAUUUUCAAAAUAUUUUUUAAUUUAGAUUUUCUCAUAUUUAAUUGUUUGUAUAUUGAAUUAUGUUAGAUCUUUAAUUUUAUUUUUGACUUUUUAAUUUAUUUUCCUGCAAGAUAUAUUGUUUCUAUAUCUACGACGUUAACGUGGAGUUUAAUCCAAUUUUUCUUUACAAAAAUCUUAGCAAUGAUUUUUCAUAGAAUUUUUUUUUAUAAAACCAAAUAUGACGGAUCAAAUAUGCAAAGAGUUAUGUGAGUACAAAAGAGAUCAUACCAACUCUACUCUAAAAAGAGUUGCAAUUGUGGCUUGAAUAAAAGUUUCAUAUAAAAUUAGUCUUAGAAGGUAUGCUUAAGAUUAAUGAUUAUUAAUUUAUGAUAUUGUUGGGACCAUAUUUUUACAUAGGGGUUUCAAAAAAAUUAUUAUCUUAUUAUCUUAUCGAUUUUCGUUAAUUUUUACAUUGGCCCGACUUGGGACCGGCAAAAUUUACUAAUUUAUCGUGUUUAUUAAUUUAUCGAGUAUUAAUUUAUAGAGUUUCUACUGUACAUAUCAUAUAUAUUACGGUCCAAAUAGAAAAAGACUGAUGGAAUUAAGUAUCUAAAGAAUAUUGGGUACCUAAUCUUUAAUAAUAUAAGUAUUUGGAUUUCUAGGCUUUCCUGUAGGCUUGGGAGUUCGGAGAAAUCGGUUUAUUCGGGUCGGGCUAUUCGGUUUUGGAGAAAUUCGGUUUUUGAAAAAUCUAUCCAAAUUCGGUUCGGGUCGGUCGGUACUCGGGUUAUUCGGUUUGGUUAUAGGGCUUAAAAAUAAUUCCAAAAUUAAACCAAAUGUUUUCUAUUUCGGUUAAUUUAAAUUGAAUUACAAAAAAAAAAAACAAAUAGGCUGAAAACAAAGCCCAAACUUAUUACACCAUCAAAAUACAUUAACAAAUUUACAAACCCAAUUAUAAAAUUUACAAGGCCCAACCCGAAUUCACAAGGCUCAACCCAUUAAAAUUUUAGGGUUUUUGACAAGGGUUAACGGCGACAAAGAGCCACGGCGACGGUGACAGACGGGACGCCGACGGUGACAACGAACCCGCGACGGCGACAAUGAUGACCAAUCUUUUCGUCCGAUGAAGCUUGUAAUUUGCCAACCAUAAGAAAAUCUGCCACCAACAAGAUCUAUUAGAUAUCGUCAUCAUAAAUAUACAAUCUGAAUUGAAAAAAUUAGAGAUGGAAGUAAGAAAAUUGAAAAUCCAACGAAGAUUUAUUAGAUCUAAAGAAUUACAAGUGAAUCUAGCCGUGAGUUUGGUGAUAGGAAGAGCUUAGUGAGCACACAAUAAAAAAUCAGACCAAGAAGAGAUUGAGGGGAAAAAGAAGAGCUUAUCCCUAAAACAUUUGUGGUUAUAGGUGUAGAAAGAAGAAGAGCUAACAACAAUUGAUGAAGAAAAAAGAAAAUCAGGGAUUAGGUUGGAGAAGAUGAACUUUGUUUUAGUUUUUGAAUGGAAAAGAAGAGAGGCGCAGAGCCAAAGAAGAAAAAUAAAACCAAAG
rnacentral:lncRNA from 1 species